UUUCAUUUCUUCAAAAAUUUUGAGAGCUCCCAGACCCUCUGGUCCAAUCACCGGACCGGUCAUCGUCCACCGCGCCAGCCACCAUACACAGUGGCCGAAAAUCGCCAAAAGGUAAAUUUUUUUAUUUUAUUUUAUUUGCUAUAUUUAUCUAAAUAUAUAUAUUGUUUUUUUUUAAAUAUUGAAAGGUAUGUACAAAUGGGUUCGAAAAAGAAAGAAAAAUAAAAAGAAAAUAAAUAGCCUUUAUCUCGAAAUCUUUGACUCUGUUUUCGAUGUUUCUUGCUGCGAUUUUGUGUUGGUAUUCAAAACCUUUUGAUGGUAUUUUUUACUUUUUUUUAUGUUUGAGCCUCUGUUUUUUAUUUCCAAGCCAAAAAAGAGUCCCCUUGAAAUACAUUUAGAUUCAACCUUUAUGGCCAUUUUUACAAUGGUUUUUAAUCUAUUCUACUGUUUGUUGCGUGUUUGCUUCAUCUUUGCAGGGUAGUUGACGACGGUGGAGCAGGUGGCUAAUAGGGGAGUGGUGGUAGGUGGUGGCAGAGGUCAAAAGACCUAGGUGCGGUGCCGAAUUUAGGGGCUAGGGUUUGUUCUCUUUUUUUAUUUUUAUUUGUGCUGUUAGGGUUAGUUUGGGCUUGGGUUAAUAUUGGGUUAUCAAAUUAAACCUCAUAAUCAAGUUUCAUUUUUAAAUUAAUUAAUAUAAUAAUACAU
rnacentral:lncRNA from 1 species